AGUUUCAAAACACUUGACACGUCAUGUGUUAGUUAUGCCACGGACGGUUACGCUAGUAUGUUUAUGCAGUUAUGUAUUAAUAUAUUAUACGAAUGAUAUUUGCAUAUGUUACGAUUUUAAUUAUUGCAUUUUACUAUAGUCGUGUGGACCCAUCAUUAUGAUUGGAUUCUGGGCGAAGCGAUGAAUGUAUUGAUUUACCAGGACCGGCGCUAAGUAUUUUGUCGCCCCGUGUAAGUAAAAAAAAAUGCCGCCCCUUUCAACAAAUUGUUGCCAUAUAAUUGUGACCCAGACACCCACAACAUUGAACUUUUUUUAUGUUUCAUUGUUGAAAGUUAUCGUUUUGAUAACUAUUAGUAUUGAGUAUAUAUUGUAUAUAUAUACUUAAUGCUAUUUGGCACGUCACCGCGGCACAUUCGUAAUUUUAGUGGAUAAUGAAUAAUGAUCAAUGACAAAACUAAAUUCGAACAUCAACGAAAAGUAAUUAAUGAACAAUAUAAUUACAUGAAAAAUACUGUGUGGGUACCUAUUAAAUACUCGUAUUUAUACAAAAAAUAUAAUAUUAUCUUUUCUUUUAACACGAUGUGUUUUUGGGCUGGGUUUAACUCUUUGUAUUUUUCGCGAGCCCGAUUUUUUUAACGCUUUGUUCAUUGCUAUAGAAACGCAAAUCAACAAUAAAACGAAAAAAAGGUGGACUAUAUAAAUGUAUUAAUGUAGGAAUUUGACGUUAAUUCAUUUUCCGUGCAUAAAUUACAUACCACUUUUAAAUUGUACACUUGUUACAUAUAAGUUAUGACUAAUAAGUAAUAAGUAAUAAUUAAUAUGAAGUACCUACGUGGUAGCGAUCCAUAA